AACGAACGCUGGCGGCGUGCCUAACACAUGCAAGUUGAACGGAGCCAUUUUGAAGUAGCAAUACGGAGAAAUGGUUUAGUGGCGGACGGGUGAGUAACACGUAGGUAACCUACCCUUAAGCGGGGGACAACUCAGGGAAACUUGCGCUAAUACCGCAUAAGACCACGGGCUGAGAUGCCAGUGGGAAAAGGAGCAAUCCACUUAAGGAUGGGCCUGCGGCCUAUCAGGUAGUUGGUGAGGUAACGGCCCACCAAGCCAGAGACGGGUAGCCGGACUGAGAGGUUGAACGGUCACACUGGAACUGAGAUACGGUCCAGACUCCUACGGGAGGCAGCAGUGGGGAAUAUUGCACAAU
rnacentral:rRNA from 1 species